GGUUAGUUCAAGCUCAAUCUUUCACUUUUAUUUAAAUUUUCCUGAUAUUCAUUAUAGUCUCUCUCUGUGUUUGUAUGUCCUAUCUUAUUUAUUGCUUUAUUGACAUUUAACUUAUAUUCUCAAGUAAAUGAAUUAAUAAAUUUAGCACCCCUAUUAUGAAAGGCACUGAAGAAAAUAUGAAAGUUAUUAAAUAAAGGAUCCAAAUCUUCAAACACCUUAUAAUAUAGUGGAGAGACAGGUUAUAAAGCAAAAGGGCAAUGAGUGAAUCGGGCCGAUAGCUAUGGAGAUGCAAAGGAGGAGAUGCAUAAAAGCAAGGGUGGGGCGAGGAAGGGAAAGAGGCAAAGAUUACUCUGAGGUUUUAAGCUUGGGUUUCUGGAAGAACCAUAGUGCCUUCAACAGAAAGGAGAAAGCCAAGAAGAGGAGCUGAUUUGUGGGAAUGAGGAUAGAAGGAGGAAAUGAUGAGUUUGGAUCUAAAUAUGUCGGGUUUAGAUGACAUAGUCUUAGGUGCUGGUUAAGAUGUUCAGCUGCCUUGUCACCUCUAAUGAAGAUGAGCUCAUUGCUGAGUUCUAGCUCAAACAUAGGCUACUUUAUCCUCCUGAUAUUCAUUCAACAGAACUUUGUGCAAGGCAAUGAAAUGGAUUACAAGGUACAAAAGGCAUGAUCUUUGCUCUCCCAGAGUUCCAGCUGAGUAGGGGAGACACUUUGUCCUCACCAUGCAAGGCACUGAAUAGUGAUGUGGGCAGUAAGACACAGAAGGGCAGAAGAAGGAGCCAUUUAGGGGGAACAAGCUGGAACCUGCAAGCAGCUUCUUGUAGACUCUCUUCUCUGAGAGUUCAAAGAUACAGAGCAUUCUCUUCAUGUGUAAAUCAUGGCAUGGACUGA
rnacentral:lncRNA from 1 species